GACAUCAAUCUCUGUGAAUGUACGUUAACAAAAACAAAGACCCAAAAAAGCUGUUCCUUUGAAUAAUAAAAGGUCCCCUCUGGUGAAGAGAAAUUGGAAAUAUAAGCACAAUGUGACAAGCCAUGAAAGAUGGAUACCUGUUGCCAUGUCUCCUAUGCUUGUGACAUCUUGAUGUGCAUCAACAUUAACUCCAAGAACUUUUUGUUUCCUUCCCUCUUCACCUCUUAUCACAUGAUUAAUUUGCUAUAUACAAUUACAUAAUUAGCUCUCUGAAAUCUUAAUUAACCUCAAUUAGAUAUACUUCCUCCUUAAUCAUUACUAGCUUCUAAGAUUAGCAAGGCUUGACAUGACUCAUUAUAGCUAACAGUAGGAACCCACGUCAUCUAUAUAUAAUUUAGAAUCACUAAAUUUCAUUAAUUAAACAAUCACUUUCUGUUCUUCUCUUUUCCAUUGCGCAAAAGGGAUCCCAAACCAAAGAGAUUUGCAGCUCCUUGAGCAAUGUAAGGAGGUGGCAUUUUCAAAACAGGACUAAUCUUAACACCAUUUCCAUGAGAU
rnacentral:misc_RNA from 1 species